UACGUAGGGUGCGAGCGUUGUCCGGAAUUAUUGGGCGUAAAGGGCGCGUAGGCGGUGCGGUAAGUCACCUGUGAAAUCUCCUGGCUCAACUGGGAGUCUGCAGGCGAAACUGCCGUGCUGGAGUGUGGGAGAGGUGAGUGGAAUUCCCGGUGUAGCGGUGAAAUGCGUAGAUAUCGGGAGGACACCUGUGGCGAAAGCGGCUCACUGGACCACACUGACGCUGAGGCAC
rnacentral:rRNA from 1 species